CUUCUCCACUCUUCCCGAAGCUUCUCCCUUUCUUCUUCCAUUUCCACCGCGAUCUCCUCCCCCUCUUCUUGUCCUCUCCUCCCACGAGGCAAGGAGGCUCGGGAGGGACGAGCAAGGGCCGACGGCGUCCGGCGCCCGGCCUGCGGCGCCCACGGUCGUGCCCGCAGCUGUGCCUGCGGUCGUGCCCGUGGCCGCAUCGGCGUCCCGCAUCCCACGGCCGACGACCCGCGGCGGAGGUCGGCGCCCGCAGAUCGACCACCGGUCGGAAUAUGAGAUGGAAAGGAUAGAGUGAUCAGAAGAUUCACCUAGCUCCAGGAAGGGGCUGUGAGCGACGAUGUCGAGCUGGGGUGCCUCCUCCUCCGGCGCCGCCGCUCUCAAUCCAAUUCCUUGUAGCAGGAGAAAGAGGGUAAGAGGCAGUGAAGGAUGGUCGAUGGAAUCUUACAGAGGAGCCAUGGCAUUUAUAACCUCAUCGGAAGGUAGGGGGAGGGAGAACGGCCACUGUUGAGUGGUUAUAACCGCCUCAACAGCUUCCUUCCCGAAGCUCCCACUGUUGGACCUCCAGAUGGGCCACCGACUACGAUCCAAGUUGGCCUGUCUGGGCCCAAUAAUUACAAUAUGAAUGUUUGUAUCAUUAGAUAUGUAGUUGCAUUUGCCGCGGAUACUUCAAAGUUAAGAUCAAAUCAAACAUCUUGGAAUCCAUUCUUUAC